rnacentral:misc_RNA from 1 species
GAAAUGCGAUAAGUAAUGUGAAUUGCAGAAUUCAGUGAAUCAUCGAAUCUUUGAACGCAGCUUGUGCUCCUUGGUAUUCCUUGGAGCAUGCCUGUUUGAGUAUCAUGAAAUCUUCAAAGUAAAUCUUUUGUUAACUCAAUUGGUUUCUACUUUGGUAUUGGAGGUCUUUGCAGCUUCACACCUGCUCCUCUUUGUUCAUUAGCUGGAUCUCAGUGUUAUGCUUGGUUCCACUCGGCGUGAUAAGUUAUCUAUCGCUGAGGACACUGUAAAAGGUGGCCAAGGUAAAUGCAGAUGAACCGCUUCUAAUAGUCCAUUGACUUGGACAAUACUUUUAUGAUCUGAUCUCAAAUCAGGUAGGACUACCCGCUGAACUUAAGC